GCCCCCGUAGCUCAGCGGAUAGAGCACCGGCCUCCGGAGCCGGUGGCGAGGGUUCGAGUCCCUCCGGGGGUACCA
rnacentral:tRNA from 2 species